rnacentral:lncRNA from 1 species
CCCGGGAGCGCGGAGAGCCGGACUCCCAGGCGGCAGCGGUAGCGGCGGCGAGGACGGCGGCGGCGGCGACGGCAGAGAGUUCAUAUGGGAAGGACAUUGGGGUGAGCAUCUUCUCUAUUUGCAGCUGGCUUUUCUGAUUCACCCUACCAUUUAAAACCUGGAGGCACUGGCCCACACAAAGCCUUGCUGAUUUCAGGAAAGAAGAGUCAUCAAAGAUGUCCAGCAAGACAGCGAGCACCAACAGCACAGCCCAAGCUAGGAGAACUGUGCAGCAGCUGAGAUUGGAAGCCUCCAUCGAAAGAAUAAAGGUCUCCAAAGCAUCUGCAGACCUGAUGUCAUACUGUGAGGAGCAUGCCCGGAGCGACCCUCUGCUGAUGGGCAUACCGACCUCAGAAAACCCAUUCAAGGAUAAGAAGACCUGCAUCAUCUUAUAGUGGACCAGGAAGCACCCCUUGCCUCUCAAUGCAAACCACAGCAGCAACCUGAAGAGAUUCAUGCAGCUUACCUGGUAACCACAGCUAGUAACUAAAACACCCUUCUCUUGGCAUAACAGACCCUCAAGUCUCUCUCUUUCAAGUUGUCCUUUCUUCGACCUUUACUGAUUUAAUACAGAAUAACAAUCUUAUUUUCUAUUUGGAAAUAUGGUAUCAUAUUGGGUUACUACUGUAUAAGGAAAGUGGCAGGGGAGUUGUGGGAAGCUUGUCUUUACAAUAUACUAUUGAUUAAGAUAUGUCAAGACCUACAUUGUCUAAGCACCGGCAAAUUAAAAUGUCAAGAAUCGCUUCAGUCCAGAACCUUUAU